rnacentral:rRNA from 1 species
UACGGAGGGUGCAAGCGUUAUCCGGAUUCACUGGGUUUAAAGGGUGCGUAGGUGGGCAGGUAAGUCAGUGGUGAAAUCUCCGGGCUUAACUCGGAAACUGCCAUUGAUACUAUCUUUCUUGAAUACCGUGGAGGUCAGCGGAAUAUGUCAUGUAGCGGUGAAAUGCUUAGAUAUGACAUAGAACACCAAUUGCGAAGGCAGCUUACUAAGGAGUAACUGACGCUGAGGCACGAAAGUGUGGGGAUCAAACAGG